GUCCUUCUGUAGUUCAUAAGACAGUGACUGGGUGUUCCGGCACAGGUGUCAGGUGUGCCUCCUUCAAGCCUUAUUCCAACUGCAGCGCAUUACCUGCCUGACA
ensembl:snoRNA